rnacentral:tRNA from 1 species
CUGUGGUUAGCUCAGUUGGUUAGAGCGCCUGCUUUACACGCAGGAGGUCAGAGGUUCAAGUCCUCUACCGCCCACCA